UCAGUAGCUGGUCUGAGAGGACGACCAGCCACACUGGAACUGAGACACGGUCCAGACUCCUACGGGAGGCAGCAGUGGGGAAUUUUGGACAAUGGGCGCAAGCCUGAUCCAGCAAUGCCGCGUGAGUGAAGAAGGCCUUCGGGUUGUAAAGCUCUUUUGUCAGGGAAGAAACGGUUCGGGCUAAUAUCCUGGGCUAAUGACGGUACCUGAAGAAUAAGCACCGGCUAACUACGUGCCAGCAGCCGCGGUAAUACGUAGGGUGCAAGCGUUAAUCGGAAUUACUGGGCGUAAAGCGUGCGCAGGCGGUUGUGCAAGACAGAUGUGAAAUCCCCGGGCUCAACCUGGGAAUUGCAUUUGUGACUGCACGGCUAGAGUGUGUCAGAGGGGGGUAGAAUUCCACGUGUAGCAGUGAAAUGCGUAGAGAUGUGGAGGAAUACCGAUGGCGAAGGCAGCCCCCUGGGAUAACACUGACGCUCAUGCACGAAAGCGUGGGGAGCAAACAGGAUUAGAUACCCUGGUAGUCCACGCCCUAAACGAUGUCUACUAGUUGUCGGGUCUUAAUUGACUUGGUAACGCAGCUAACGCGUGAAGUAGACCGCCUGGGGAGUACGGUCGCAAGAUUAAAACUCAAAGGAAUUGACGGGGACCCGCACAAGCGGUGGAUGAUGUGGAUUAAUUCGAUGCAACGCGAAAAACCUUACCUACCCUUGACAUGUCUGGAAUCCUUGAGAGAUCAGGGAGUGCUCGAAAGAGAAUCAGAACACAGGUGCUGCAUGGCUGUCGUCAGCUCGUGUCGUGAGAUGUUGGGUUAAGUCCCGCAACGAGCGCAACCCUUGUCAUUAGUUGCUACGAAAGGGCACUCUAAUGAGACUGCCGGUGACAAACCGGAGGAAGGUGGGGAUGACGUCAAGUCCUCAUGGCCCUUAUGGGUAGGGCUUCACACGUCAUACAAUGGUACAUACAGAGGGCCGCCAACCCGCGAGGGGGAGCUAAUCCCAGAAAGUGUAUCGUAGUCCGGAUUGUAGUCUGCAACUCGACUACAUGAAGUUGGAAUCGCUAGUAAUCGCGGAUCAGCAUGUCGCGGUGAAUACGUUCCCGGGUCUUGUACACACCGCCCGUCACACCAUGGGAGCGGGUUUCACCAGAAGUGGGUAGCCUAACCGCAAGGAGGGCGCUCACCACGGUGGGAUUCGUGACUGGGGUGAAGUCGUAACAAGGUA
rnacentral:rRNA from 1 species